rnacentral:rRNA from 1 species
UACGAACCGAGCGAGCGUUGUUCGGAAUCACUGGGCUUAAAGGGCGCGUAGGCGGGUGGUCAAGUCCGUGGUGAAAUCCUCCGGCUCAACCGGAGAACUGCCUCGGAUACUGGGCGCCUCGAGGGUGGUAGGGGUAUGCGGAACUCUCGGUGGAGCGGUGAAAUGCGUAGAUAUCGAGAGGAACACCUGCGGCGAAGGCGGGUUGCUGGGCUGACACUGACGCUGAGGCGCGAAAGCGUGGGGAGCAAACAGG